UACGUAGGGGGCAAGCGUUGUCCGGAUUCAUUGGGCGUAAAGAGCGUGUAGGCGGCCAGGCAGGUCGGUUGUGAAAACUGGAGGCUUAACCUCCAGACGUCGACGGAAACCGCGUGGCUAGAGUCCGGAAGAGGAGAGUGGAAUUCCUGGUGUAGCGGUGAAAUGCGCAGAUAUCAGGAGGAACACCGGUGGUGUAGACGGCUCUCUGGACCGUAACUGACGCUGAGACACGAAAGCGUGGGUAGCAAACAGG
rnacentral:rRNA from 1 species